GGAUCUGAUGCCUUAGCAGAUUUAGAGCUUGGUUUGUGAGAGUCUGUGUUAGGUCCUGCUUAUGGAAUCCAACCUCCUACCUACUGGGUUUUUUCUGAUUGCUGGUGGAAAAGGCCUGGAAGUUGACCUUUGAUGCAUAAGGAGCCAGGCAGCGUUGUCAGCCUGUCUCCGUUCAGAGGGCAAUGGAAGAUCCUUUUUCUGCACCUGAACUCCACGCUCCAUGAUGCAACGUGUGAGGUUGAAAAACACCUGGAGAUUUGCAUUGAAUGAAUGUCAUCAUCAUAAUUAAAACAGGGUCUUCCCAAUUCCAAGAUCUCAUCAACUCUAAGUUUACUGAAAAAAAGCAAAGCACCAAGCAGUGCAUGGUGCAGGAAUGACACGCACAGGUUCAGCAGUAGUUAGAGCAAGUGAUUUGCACUCCACUCCCCCCCCACCAAAAAAAUGUUUUCCAUAAAAUGUCAGUGACACAAAAAUUCUCAGGUCAUCAGUUCUGCUUUCAAGAAAAAAAAAUACAGAGUGAAGUCCUGUGACCUACAGUGUUUUUCUCGAGAGAUUUUGAAUCUCCUCUAAAUACUUUAAUUUCCCAUCAGAAGGUGAGUGGGAUGCUGAUGUCUUAGUUGAUAAAACAGGAGUGGUCUCAGAAAAGAGAUUUGAUUUGAAAGCAUGGGCUAAUUAAUUUUGAAGAGGAUGAUGCUUUUCAACUGGCACCCCCCCAGAAAAAAAAAAAAAAGGUAUGAUGUUAUUUCACCCAACAGAAAAAAGAGAAUGGUGUAGGUGGGAGCUAAUUGCUUGAAUGUCAUCUCCAGUCCCAGAUACAGGUACCUCAGUCUGAACUUGACUCCUGUUGUUCAUGCUCCCUGAGCACAUCACGUUUACUUCUGAAAGGGCCAAGUAGGGCUGAUGAAUCCCAGUGUUGGUAACAGCUGUGUGAAGUGAUGGAACCUGCCCAGAAAAUGAGAGGAAUGGCCAUCUGGAAGGCAGGAGGAGAACAUAGGAGACAUUUCCUGCUGCUCUGCAAUUAAUCAGAGUCUGUCUUUCAAGACAAAUCUUGGAGGCCCAACUUGACUUUAUUGGAGAAAAAUCUUUAAACCAACUAACUUUGCACUUUUAGUAAGGAUAUAGUCUACUACCAGGAGCAAAUAAAGCAUCCAACUUUGGCAAGACACCCUCUCUAUUCUGUUCUGGUUGUACCUGAAAUGUGAAUGAACCUACCCCAAAAAUAUCUUCCUACAAAAGACAAUUUGAGUAUAGUGGUAUUGACUUUCAUCAGAAGAGCAUCCUAUUCCUAAAGCUUAGAUCAUGGCUUCUCCAUGCUAUAAAGGGCUUUGAACUCGAGUUGGGUCUGAAUUAUGUGACAUGUAGAAGGAUAUUUAUAUCCAGCCUUGCUCUGGGGGGCCACUUGCCUCAUCUAAAUAAUUUUAAGGAAAAAAAAACCCAAGUUAGAUAAUCUGGAUGGUAUCUUCUAUGAUGCAGUCCUAAGUAUCUUCCUCCUUAUGAUUUCUUACCCCUUCUCUGUUGAGUAGAGAAAACAGUGAUAUGGUACCUGCUGUGCAAUAUAGCUGUCCUUGCAACAAACCUUGUGUAACUCUUGCUGUGACCAAGGAAUUAGCAAAUCAAAUUCACAGGAAAAUAAACCUUCUGUAUUAUGGUA